UACGAAGGGGACUAGCGUUGUUCGGAAUCACUGGGCGUAAAGCGCACGUAGGCGGAUAUGUCAGUCAGGGGUGAAAUCCCGGGGCUCAACCUCGGAACUGCCUUUGAUACAGCAUGUCUUGAGUCCGAUAGAGGUGAGUGGAAUUCCGAGUGUAGAGGUGAAAUUCGUAGAUAUUCGGAGGAACACCAGUGGCGAAGGCGGCUCACUGGUCCGGUACUGACGCUGAGGUGCGAAAGCGUGGGGAGCAAACAGG
rnacentral:rRNA from 1 species